rnacentral:lncRNA from 1 species
AAGGCUAUUAGACUUAUUUUUCUAUGUGUAUGAGGGUUUUGAGAUCAAUUGAAUGGUGAAAAGGAGAGAUAUUAGCUCUGAGAGAUUAGCAUCAAAGUUGGAAAAAAAGGCCAACUAAUACCCGAGUACGUUUUUGAUGUUAUCGUCUAUUCAGUAAUUUUGAUCCUUUUCAAAUUUUUUGUGCUUGUUUUUAACUUAGUUUUUAAGAAGUGUACAAAAUUUGAGUUAAGAUCGACGGUUCAUUCAUUAGUUAUUGAGGUUUGAAUCUAUUGUAGAAAUUACUAGGGUUUGGUUAAGAUUUUAUUUAGGGUUUAGAGUUUGGUUAGGAUUUGAUUUAGAGUUUGGUUAGGAUUUGGUUUAGGAUUUAGGAUUUGGUUUAAGGUUUAAGAUUUGAUUUAGGAUUUAGAAUUUGAUUUAAGGUUUAGAAUUUGGUUAAGGUUUCAUUUAGGAUUUAGGAUUUAUUUGGGGUUUGGUUUAGGAUUUGUUUAGGAUUUGGUUUAGGGUUUAGGAUAUGGUUAGUGUUUGAUUUAGGAUUUGGUUUAAGAUUUAGGGUUUGAUUAGGAUUUAGGAUUUGAUUUAGGAUUUAAGAUUUAAUUAGGAUUUGAUUUGGAAUUUGAUUUAGGAUUUAGAGUUUAGGAUUUAGGGUUUGUUUAGGAUUUGGUUAGAAUUUGGUUUAGAAUUUAGGAUUUGAUUUAGGGUUUAGGAUUUAAGAUUUAAUUAGUUUUGGCCUAAAUUUUGAAUGAAGUUUAAUAGGAUUUUAACUAGGAUUAAAUUAAGAUUGAAUUGAGAUGUAUUUGAGAUAUAUUUGUGAUCAUUCUAAUAUUUCUUUAUUUUUUUUUUAUUGUUUCUUUGAAAUUUCUUUGAGAUUUUUUUGAAUUUGAUUAAAGCUUGCUUAGCAUUAUUAUGAUCUAAUUAGAAUUUAGUUAGUAUUCUAUUAGAGUUAGGAUUUUUUUGUUGUUAUUUCUAUUCUACCUUCCACAGUCAAGUGCCCAGAGCAUUCUCAAGCAAGACUUCACAUAUUAUGACACUGCAAUAAGUUGUUUGGCACAGUAUAUUGUUGCCCUUACUUAUACUUAAGCUAGAUAUUAAAAAUCUAUAAUUUUUCUUCUU